UGGACGUUGAUAUGCAGUUCAAUAUUUGAGGGUCCGUUCUUGGACGUCAUUUAGACGUUCAAAACAGGUUCAGAAAAAAAAUAUAAAAACUUAUGCAAUAAAAACGACAAAUGAGUUCUGAUUCAAAACAAUGUAACAUGACGUUUUUUUUUUUGUGAAAAUUCUUUAAGGUGAUAAAAUAUGUUAUAUUUUUAAGAAUGAAUGUUCACAACGCGUGCCAAAAUCUACUGCAUUUCUUUUGUGUAAUUUGCAAAUUAAACCAAAUUCAAGUGUGAUUUACAAAAAUAAUCAACAUUGCAAUUUUAAGUUUAACCACAAGGGUGUGUAAAAGCUUAGGUGGCGAGGUGGCGCGUGAUCUUUUUUUGCACGUGAUCAACAGACGUAUAAUUAAGCGAGCCCCAGCCGUAAACGUACUCAACGGAUUCAACCUGCUGUGAACAGGAGAACAGGACCUACAUACACCCCAAAGGCUCUUUUCAGAGCCAUUUGACCAAGCAUCUUUGUACAUGCCGGUUUUCCUUCAGUAGUGCCAGUUUUCCUAAGAUUUUACCUCGUCCUCCACUGCCUCCAGUAAUUCCUGGUUUUAAGGUGGAGUAAUGGAGUAAAGAUGCAACGGAGCAGCUGAUAAGAAAACAUGCUUAAGACCAUCUUAAACGUGCACCAUCAAGAAAGGGAGGGGUACACAAUAAACAUUUUUUUUAACAUUACUUUUUGAAUAGAUGCACUUUUUAAAUUUUUUUUUAAAGUAUAUAUAUUGUUUAUUUAUGUUGUUUUUAAAUGUUAUAAUUGUAUUGUUUUUAUUUGUUGUAUUUAGCUUUUAUGCAUUUGUACACACACAAACACACAACCACAUUUAUACAAAAUAAGUUUUGAAUAAAUACGUUUAAUGGAG